rnacentral:rRNA from 1 species
CUCAGGACGAACGCUGGCGGCGCGCCUAACACAUGCUUGUCGAACGAGAGAUGAGGAGCUUGCUCUUCAAAUCGAGUGGCGAACGGGUGAGUAACGCGUGAGGAACCUGCCUCAAAGAGGGGGACAACAGUUGGAAACGACUGCUAAUACCGCAUAAGCCCACGGCUCGGCAUCGAGCAGAGGGAAAAGGAGCAAUCCGCUUUGAGAUGGCCUCGCGUCCGAUUAGCUAGUUGGUGAGGUAAUGGCCCACCAAGGCAACGAUCGGUAGCCGGACUGAGAGGUUGAACGGCCACAUUGGGACUGAGACACGGCCCAGACUCCUACGGGAGGCAGCAGUGGGGAAUAUUGCACAAUGGGGGAAACCCUGAUGCAGCGACGCCGCGUGGAGGAAGAAGGUCUUCGGAUUGUAAACUCCUGUUGUUGAGGAAGAUAAUGACGGUACUCAACAAGGAAGUGACGGCUAACUACGUGCCAGCAGCCGCGGUAAAACGUAGGUCACAAGCGUUGUCCGGAAUUACUGGGUGUAAAGGGAGCGCAGGCGGGAGAACAAGUUGGAAGUGAAAUCCAUGGGCUCAACCCAUGAACUGCUUUCAAAACUGUUUUUCUUGAGUAGUGCAGAGGUAGGCGGAAUUCCCGGUGUAGCGGUGGAAUGCGUAGAUAUCGGGAGGAACACCAGUGGCGAAGGCGGCCUACUGGGCACCAACUGACGCUGAGGCUCGAAAGUGUGGGUAGCAAACAGGAUUAGAUACCCUGGUAGUCCACACCGUAAACGAUGAUUACUAGGUGUUGGAGGAUUGACCCCUUCAGUGCCGCAGUUAACACAAUAAGUAAUCCACCUGG